rnacentral:rRNA from 1 species
GUUCCUACGGGGCGCAGCAGUCGAGAAUCAUUCACAAUGGGGGAAACCCUGAUGGUGCGACGCCGCGUGGGGGAAUGAAGGUCUUCGGAUUGUAAACCCCUGUCAUGUGGGAGCAAAUUAAAAAGAUAGUACCACAAGAGGAAGAGACGGCUAACUCUGUGCCAGCAGCCGCGGUAAUACAGAGGUCUCAAGCGUUGUUCGGAAUCACUGGGCGUAAAGCGUGCGUAGGCUGUUUCGUAAGUCGUGUGUGAAAGGCGCGGGUCAAACCGCCGGAGGGA